AGGUACGCUGGCGGCGUGCCUAAUACAUGCAAGUCGAGCGAACAGAAGGGAGCUUGCUCCCGGAUGUUAGCGGCGGACGGGUGAGUAACACGUGGGUAACCUGCCUGUAAGACUGGGAUAACUCCGGGAAACCGGAGCUAAUACCGGAUAGUUCCUUGAACCGCAGGUUCAAGGAUGAAAGACGGUUUCGGCUGUCACUUACAGAUGGACCCGCGGCGCAUUAGCUAGUUGGUGGGGUAAUGGCUCACCAAGGCGACGAUGCGUAGCCGACCUGAGAGGGUGAUCGGCCACACUGGGACUGAGACACGGCCCAGACUCCUACGGGAGGCAGCAGUAGGGAAUCUUCCGCAAUGGACGAAAGUCUGACGGAGCAACGCCGCGUGAGUGAUGAAGGUUUUCGGAUCGUAAAGCUCUGUUGUUAGGGAAGAACAAGUGCGAGAGUAACUGCUCGCACCUUGACGGUACCUAACCAGAAAGCCACGGCUAACUACGUGCCAGCAGCCGCGGUAAUACGUAGGUGGCAAGCGUUGUCCGGAAUUAUUGGGCGUAAAGGGCUCGCAGGCGGUUUCUUAAGUCUGAUGUGAAAGCCCCCGGCUCAACCGGGGAGGGUCAUUGGAAACUGGGAAACUUGAGUGCAGAAGAGGAGAGUGGAAUUCCACGUGUAGCGGUGAAAUGCGUAGAGAUGUGGAGGAACACCAGUGGCGAAGGCGACUCUCUGGUCUGUAACUGACGCUGAGGAGCGAAAGCGUGGGGAGCGAACAGGAUUAGAUACCCUGGUAGUCCACGCCGUAAACGAUGAGUGCUAAGUGUUAGGGGGUUUCCGCCCCUUAGUGCUGCAGCUAACGCAUUAAGCACUCCGCCUGGGGAGUACGGUCGCAAGACUGAAACUCAAGGAAUUGACGGGGGCCCGCACAGCGGUGGAGCAUGUGGUUUAUUCGAAGCACGCGAGACUUUACAGUCUUGACAUCUCUGACACCUAGAGAUAGGGCUUUCCCUUCGGGACGAGUGAC
rnacentral:rRNA from 1 species